AGUCGAGCGGAAACGAGUUCACUGAACCUUCGGGGAACGUGAACGGCGUCGAGCGGCGGACGGGUGAGUAAUGCCUGGGAAAUUGCCCUGAUGUGGGGGAUAACCAUUGGAAACGAUGGCUAAUACCGCAUAAUAGCUUCGGCUCAAAGAGGGGGACCUUCGGGCCUCUCGCGUCAGGAUAUGCCCAGGUGGGAUUAGCUAGUUGGUGAGGUAAGGGCUCACCAAGGCAACGAUCCCUAGCUGGUCUGAGAGGAUGAUCAGCCACACUGGAACUGAGACACGGUCCAGACUCCUACGGGAGGCAGCAGUGGGGAAUAUUGCACAAUGGGCGCAAGCCUGAUGCAGCCAUGCCGCGUGUAUGAAGAAGGCCUUCGGGUUGUAAAGUACUUUCAGCAGUGAGGAAGGUAUCGUAGUUAAUAGCUGCGGUAUUUGACGUUAGCUGCAGAAGAAGCACCGGCUAACUCCGUGCCAGCAGCCGCGGUAAUACGGAGGGUGCGAGCGUUAAUCGGAAUUACUGGGCGUAAAGCGCAUGCAGGUGGUUUGUUAAGUCAGAUGUGAAAGCCCGGGGCUCAACCUCGGAAUUGCAUUUGAAACUGGCAGGCUAGAGUCUUGUAGAGGGGGGUAGAAUUUC
rnacentral:rRNA from 1 species